rnacentral:rRNA from 1 species
CCUACGGGGGACAGCAGUAGGGAAUCUUCCACAAUGGGCGAAAGCCUGAUGGAGCAACGCCGCGUGGGUGAAGAAGGUCUUCGGAUCGUAAAACCCUGUUGUUAGAGAAGAAAGUGCGUGAGAGUAACUGUUCACGUUUCGACGGUAUCUAACCAGAAAGCCACGGCUAACUACGUGCCAGCAGCCGCGGUAAUACGUAGGUGGCAAGCGUCAUCCGGAUUUAUUGGGCGUAAAGGGAACGCAGGCGGUCUUUUAAGUCUGAUGUGAAAGCCUUCGGCUUAACCGGAGUAGUGCAUUGGAAACUGGGAGACUGGAGUGCAGAAGAGGAGAGUGGAACUCCAUGUGUAGCGGUGAAAUGCGUAGAUAUAUGGAAGAACACCAGUGGCGAAAGCGGCUCUCUGGUCUGUAACUGACGCUGAGGUUCGAAAGCGUGGGUAGCAAACAGGAUUAGAUACCCGAGUAGUC